rnacentral:rRNA from 1 species
GUCCUGGCCCUAAACGAUGAAUGCUUGGUGUGGCGGGUAUCGAUCCCUGCCGUGCCGAAGUUAACGCGAUAAGCAUUCCGCCUGGGGAGUACGGUCGCAAGGCUGAAAACUCAAAGGAAUUGACGGGGGCCCCGCACAAGCGGUGGAGCAUGUGGUUUAAUUCGACGCAACGCGAAGAACCUUACCCAGGCUCGAAAUGCAGAUGACCAUCGGUGAAAGCCGACUCCCGCAAGGGCAACUGUAUAGGUGCUGCAUGGCUGUCGU